GGGAGCGGUAUGAGCUGAGAGGUUCACGUACCGUUCUGAGAGGGGUUGGGGGUGAGAUUCCCCCGAUCUACUCGCC
rnacentral:ncRNA from 1 species